rnacentral:RNase_P_RNA from 1 species
GCAGUCCACUAAGUGAUCGCCCCACAUAGGGGAGGAAAGUCCGGACAGCAUAGGGUAACGGCAGUCGCUAACGGCGACCGGAGGCAACUCUAGGGAAAGUGCCACAGAAACGAAACUACCUAAUAACUUCGGUUUUUGGGAAAAGGUGAAACGAGUGAGGUAAAAGCUCACAGUCGACUAUGGUGACAUAGUAGAGAGGUAAACCCUGCUGGCUGCAAGGAGAUCUGCAUAUCGGGCGACCCGUCCGCAGGUCGACAACCGCUUGACUCGUCUGGCAACGGGCGAGCUAGAUAGAUGGUCACUCACGACAGAAUCCGGCUUAUCGGUGGUCUGCUAAU